rnacentral:rRNA from 1 species
GAAUCCACCGCCGCCCACCGUCACCCACCCCCACCGCCACCCACCGUCGCCCACCCCCUCCGCCGACGACCCUCACCAUCGAGCCCACGCCCAGAUCCGCGCUCUCUAGUACUCGCCCGCAACCCUCACCCGUGGCUAGGGUUUCGGCCGCCACCCCUAAAUUCGUCGGGAUCUGCCACAUCCAGCGACAGCGAGGCCAGAGGUGGCCGGAUCUGGCACCGGUGGAUGGGAUGACGACGAUGGCAGGAGGGGCGAACCUCCAUGGGACGGGUCGCCACCAUGGAGAUGGAGCUCCUUCUCCCCUACCACGCAACCUCCCUCCCAGCGCCAAUAGAGCACCGGCUACCAUGACGCGACAGCGCUGUCGCAAGCCUCGCGGGGCUGUGCAUCUCGUCGUCUGCCACGCCCUACCAGGAGCUACAUCACCCACACGUCUCCUCUGAAGAAGGGGACGAUGGCUUGUGCGUCGGCGUGGUUGGCUCCAGCUCCCCGCCGACCUAUGACUCCACAUGCGUCGCCGUCUUCGACCACAGGUCCAUGUCCUCGAUCUGCUUCCUUUGCUUCCCCUAGGUUUCCGCGUAGAUCUGGCCGUUUGAUUUGAUGCGGAUGCGAAUUUGGUUCUCCAUCGCUGUAGGUUUCCUGUGCGUACUCGCGUUCGAAUUAGCAUUGAAUCCCUCAGUUUAUGCAGUUUCGUUGUGGUUGAUUGACACCCCUGUGAAGAUAAAAUUCAGGACCAACCGUUAGCUUUUUGUGAAGAAAAAGCUAUUGGUAAAAAAAUCGUAGGAAACCCCCAAAAGCCUCGCUCUGCUGUACAUUAUAUUACUUGGGUUACUGCAACCCUGCCUGCCUGCUACUGUGUUAGUCUGCAACGCAUACCAAGUUGAUUUCAGUGCAUUUUUUCCAUAAUUAGACUUAUGAAGCUCAAACUGACCAUAUCAGCACUAGUCUCACAUUUAGAUUUAAAAUGUUGACUGGAAAUGUGUGUAGUCGGUAUUUGUCUUGUAGCAUGGCCAGAUUCAGAGACUCAACUCGUUUCUUCUUUUGUUCCUACAAGACGAUUCAACUUAACUUUAAAAAGUAACAGUAAAUUUGGAUACUGCCAGACACAAGAGAAGACUGUUACAAUGAUAGUAUGUGCUACAUUUGAUCCCAGGUUGUACAACAUAUCUGUUACUGCAGGUCACCCAUCCUCGAGGAGCAGAAGGAGGGACGCUCUGCUCCUCUUCUUCCUUGACCAUCGGUACCACCAUGUUCCCGGGCUUCCAAGGUGCGCCAGCACACCGCCGCCAUGCCUCCUCUGCUCUCCGGGCUCGGACCAAUCGCUCGCCCCUUAAGGUCCGGCAGCACCGCCGCGUCGACGACGAAGGUGGUGACUGCGGCGGUGAGCGGCGCGAGUUGGUGGCUGCGGGACUCGGCGGCACGACUCUCGUCAGCAGCGACAAAGGCGGUUGUUAGGCGAGCCGAGCGUGCCUCCUCCCCGUCCCCAAAAUCGCGUCCCUUUAACGCGUUCCAUUUCGAACAGCCGGCGCAUCAGCGUUGUCGAUUUACCAUAUCCUCUCUGGAGCGAUGGCAGGAGCGCAUGAUAGACUACUAAAUGGACAAGUAUCUGCAACGUUCAGUGUCGAAGAUGAUGCUUACCAGAUGUUCUACUACAGCACCAUCCAUAUCAUCGACAUGAAGCUAGAUUUUGGCCUUCAUUCGUCAAAAGUUGGUGUACAAGGAAUUCCAGGAGAAGAAUCUUUAAGUAAAUAAUUUAUAUAGAUCAGGAUCUUAUGUUGUCGAGGUGGCUGCUGUUGUGACCAAAGAUCAGCCUGGAGAUGUGCAUCAUAGUUUUAGUUGAUGUUGCCACUAUGUUUUGUUGCAUGUGUAUUUGAGUGUAUGUACACUUGAUGGACCGUGUAGUCGUGUACGUGCUGUUUGAGUUUCAUUUAGUGAUUUCUGGAUUUGAUCAUUUAAUUCAGAAAAUUAUUUAUUGUUUGCUGUUGAAAUGUGUAAAAUUGAAAUCUUUGAUUGAAAAAGAUUGAAUGUUCU